CCUACGGGAGGCUGCAGUGAGGAAUAUUGGUCAAUGGACGAGAGUCUGAACCAGCCAAGUAGCGUGAAGGAUGACUGCCCUAUGGGUUGUAAACUUCUUUUAUAUGGGAAUAAAAUGCUCCACGUGUGGGAUUUUGUAUGUACCAUAUGAAUAAGGAUCGGCUAACUCCGUGCCAGCAGCCGCGGUAAUACGGAGGAUCCGAGCGUUAUCCGGAUUUAUUGGGUUUAAAGGGAGCGUAGAUGGAUGGUUAAGUCAGUUGUGAAAGUUUGCGGCUCAACCGUAAAAUUGCAGUUGAAACUGGCAGUCUUGAGUACAGUAGAGGUAGGCGGAAUUCGUGGUGUAGCGGUGAAAUGCUUAGAUAUCACGAAGAACUCCGAUUGCGAAGGCAGUUCACUGGACUGCAACUGACGCUGAGGCUCGAAAGUGUGGGUAUCAAACAGGAUUAGAUACCCGAGUAGUC
rnacentral:rRNA from 1 species